rnacentral:rRNA from 1 species
UGAGGAAUCUUGCGCAAUGGGGGAAACCCUGACGCAGCCACGCCGCGUGGGUGAAGAAGGCCUUCGGGUCGUAAAGCCUUGUCAGGUGGGAAGAACCGCAAGGGAAUCAAUAACUCCUUUGCUUGACGGUACCACCAAAGGAAGCACCGGCUAACUCCGUGCCAGCAGCCGCGGUAAUACGGAGGGUGCAAGCGUUGUUCGGAAUUACUGGGCGUAAAGCGCGUGUAGGCGGCCAAGUAAGUCGAAUGUGAAAUCCCUCGGCUCAACUGAGGAAGUGCAUCCGAAACUGCUUGGCUUGAGUCUCGGAGAGGGAUGUGGAAUUCCCGGUGUAGAGGUGAAAUUCGUAGAUAUCGGGAGGAACAUCAGUGGCGAAGGCGACAUCCUGGACGGUGACUGACGCUAAGACGCGAAAGCGUGGGUAGCAAACA